rnacentral:rRNA from 1 species
ACACCUGUGACUGUAGCCAAGGUUACUUGGUCUUCAAACAUAGUGUAAGAACGUAACAAACUAUAAACAAUACAACUUUCAACAACGGAUCUCUUGGCUCUCGCAUCGAUGAAGAACGCAGCGAAAUGCGAUAAGUAAUGUGAAUUGCAGAAUUCAGUGAAUCAUCGAAUCUUUGAACGCAACUUGCGCUCUCUGGUAUUCCGGAGAGCAUGCCUGUUUGAGUGUCAUGAUAACUCAACUAAUAGGUUUCUAUUAGUUGGAUUUGGGUGUUGCCAGCGAUGGCUCACCUUAAAGGAGUUAGCAAGUAGGCUUUGAUGUCUGACGUAAUAAGUUUCGUUGGAAGUCAAAGCUGGCGUGCUUAUAAUUGCCUCGCGCUUCGCGCUCGGCUUUUUUACUCUGGCCUCAAAUCAGGUAGGACUACCCGCUGAACUUAAGCAUAUCAAUAAGCGGAGGA